rnacentral:rRNA from 1 species
AUACGGAGGAUCCGAGCGUUAUCCGGAUUUAUUGGGUUUAAAGGGAGCGUAGGCGGAUUGUUAAGUCAGUUGUGAAAGUUUGCGGCUCAACCGAAAAAUUGCAGUUGAAACUGGCAGUCUUGAGUACAGUAGAGGAGGGCGGAAUUCGUGGUGUAGCGGUGAAAUGCUUAGAUAUAACGAAGAACUCCGGUUGCGAAGGCAGCUCACUAGAAUGUUACUGACACUGAUGCUCGAAAGUGUGGGUAUCAAACAGGAUUAGAUACCCUGGUAGUCCACACAGUAAACGAUGAAUACUCGCUGUUUGCGAUAUACAGUAAGCGGCCAAGCGAAAGCAUUAAGUAUUCCACCUGGGGAGUACGCCGGCAACGGUGAAACUCAAAGGAAUUGACGGGG